rnacentral:rRNA from 1 species
UACGUAGGUGGCAAGCGUUGUCCGGAUUUACUGGGCGUAAAGGAUGUGUAGGCGGAUAUUUAAGUGAGAUGUGAAAUCCCCGGGCUUAACUUGGGGGCUGCAUUUCAAACUGGAUGUCUAGAGUGCAGGAGAGGAAAGCAGAAUUCCUAGUGUAGCGGUGAAAUGCGUAGAGAUUAGGAAGAAUACCAGUGGCGAAGGCGGCUUUCUGGACUGUAACUGACGCUGAGGCAUGAAAGCGUGGGGAGCAAACAGGAUUAGAUACC